AACGCGAAGAACCUUACCAGCCCUUGACAUCCCGGUCGCGGGAACGAGAGAUCGAUCCCUUCAGUUCGGCUGGACCGGAGACAGGUGCUGCAUGGCUGUCGUCAGCUCGUGUCGUGAGAUGUUGGGUUAAGUCCCGCAACGAGCGCAACCCUCGCCCUUAGUUGCCAUCAUUCAGUUGGGCCCUCUAAGGGGACUGCCGGGGUCAACUCGGAGGAAGGUGGGGAUGACGUCAAGUCCUCAUGCCCCUUAUGUCUUGGGCUGCAAACAUGCUACAAUGGCCGGUACAAAGGGUUGCGAGACCGCAAGGUGGAGCGAAUCCCAAAAAGCCGGUCUCAGUUCGGAUUGGGGUCUGCAACUCGACCCCAUGAAGUCGGAGUCGCUAGUAAUCGCAGAUCAGCAACGCUGCGGUGAAUACGUUCCCGGGCCUUGUACACACCGACUGUAC
rnacentral:rRNA from 1 species